AGCCCUUUUCCUCCACCGACGCUUCCACCGCGCCGCUUCUGCCCCGGAGCCAGCUGACCACGCAGCGAGCCAAGGGUUUCUCAACCUCAAUACUACUGUCAUCUGGAACUUGACAAUUCUUCAUUUGGGAGCCUGUCCUGGUCAUUGUAGGAUGUUAAGCAGCACAGCAGGCCUACACCUACUAGAUGCCAGUAGCUGCCCCCACCCUCAUCGGCAGCAACCAAAAACAUAUCUGCCGACACCGUCAGAUGUCUUCUGUGGAGCAAAAUCUCCCCCUUCCCCAGCUGAGAAUCACUGUUCUAUCCUACACUCGACAUCUCUCCAUAAAAUAACCCAUCCCUAAUAUUGCUCCAUAAAUUCCAUAAAAAUGUUAAAAUAUGUAGCAUUUGAUUCUAACAUGUUAUUAAUGCCUUUCCAAACAGAUAAAUGUUCUAUAGAAAAUAA